rnacentral:rRNA from 1 species
UACGUAGGGUGCAAGCGUUGUCCGGAAUUAUUGGGCGUAAAGAGCUCGUAGGCGGUUUGUCGCGUCUGCUGUGAAAACGCGAGGCUCAACCUCGCGCCUGCAGUGGGUACGGGCAGACUAGAGUGCGGUAGGGGAGAUUGGAAUUCCUGGUGUAGCGGUGGAAUGCGCAGAUAUCAGGAGGAACACCGGUGGCGAAGGCGGGUCUCUGGGCAGUAACUGACGCUGAGAAGCGAAAGCGUGGGGAGCGAACAGG